AAUGAACGUUGGCGGCGUGGAUUAGGCAUGCAAGUCGCGCGAGAAACCCAGCAAUGGGUGGAAAGCGGCGUAAGGGAGAGGAACACGUGGAUUAUCUGCCCUCAAGUCUGGGAUAGCUGCGGGAAACUGCAGGUAAUACCGGAUAACGUCUUUGGACCAAAGGUGUGAUUCCGCUUGAGGAUGAGUCCGCGUCCUAUUAGCUAGUUGGUGAGGUAAUGGCUCACCAAGGCAUUGAUGGGUACCGGGUGUGAGAGCACGACCCGGCUCACUGGGACUGAGACACUGCCCAGACACCUACGGGUGGCUGCAGUCGAGGAUCUUCGGCAAUGGGCGCAAGCCUGACCGAGCGACGCCGCGUGCGGGAUGAAGGCCUUCGGGUUGUAAACCGCUGUCAGAGGGGAUGAAAUGUAUGAGGGUACUCUCUCAUACUUGACAUAGCCUCAAAGGAAGUACGGGCUAAGUUCGUGCCAGCAGCCGC
rnacentral:rRNA from 1 species